UACGGGGGGAGCAAGCGUUGUUCGGAUUUACUGGGCGUAAAGGGCGCGUAGGCGGCCAGCACAAGUCAGUUGUGAAAUCUCCGAGCUUAACUCGGAAAGGUCAACUGAUACUGUGCGGCUAGAGUGCAGAAGGGGCAACUGGAAUUCUUGGUGUAGCGGUGAAAUGCGCAGAUAUCAGGAGGAACACCAAUGGCGAAGGCAGCUCGCUGGGACGGUACUGACGCUCAGGCACGAAAGCGUGGGGAGCAAACAGG
rnacentral:rRNA from 1 species